rnacentral:rRNA from 1 species
GUGAGUAGUGUCUGGGAAACUGCCUGAUGGAGGGGGAUAACUACUGGAAACGGUAUCUAAUACCGCAUAACGUCGCAAGACCAAAGAGGGGGACCUUCGGGCCUCUUGCCAUCGGAUGUGCCCAGAUGGGAUUAUCUAGUAGGUGGGGUAACGGCUCACCUAGGAGACGAUCCCUAUCUGGUCUGAGAGGAUGACCACCCACACUGGAACUGAGACACGGCCCACACUCCUACGGGAGGCAGCAGUGGGGAAUAUUGCACAAUGGGCGCAAGCCUGAUGCACCCAUGCCGCGUGUAUGAAGAAGGCCUUCGGGUUGUAAAGCACUUUCAGCGGGGAGGAAGGCGAUGAGGUUAAUAACCUUGUCGAUUGACGUUACCCGCAGAAGAAGCACCGGCUAUCUCCGUGCCAGCAGCCGCGGUAAUACAGAGGGUGCAAGCGUUAAUCGGAAUUACUGCGCGUAAAGCGCACGCGCGCGGUCUG